rnacentral:rRNA from 1 species
ACUCCUACGGGAGGCAGCAGUGGGGAAUAUUGCACAAUGGGCGAAAGCCUGAUGCAGCAACGCCGCGUGAGGGAUGACGGCCUUCGGGUUGUAAACCUCUUUUAGUAGGGAAGAAGCGAAAGUGACGGUACCUGCAGAAAAAGCACCGGCUAACUACGUGCCAGCAGCCGCGGUAAUACGUAGGGUGCAAGCGUUGUCCGGAAUUAUUGGGCGUAAAGAGCUCGUAGGCGGUUUGUCGCGUCUGCUGUGAAAUCCCGAGGCUCAACCUCGGGCUUGCAGUGGGUACGGGUAGACUAGAGUGCGGUAGGGGAGAUUGGAAUUCCUGGUGUAGCGGUGGAAUGCGCAGAUAUCAGGAGGAACACCGAUGGCGAAGGCAGAUCUCUGGGCCGUAACUGACGCUGAGGAGCGAAAGCGUGGGGAGCGAACAGGAUUAGAUACCCUGGUAGCGAG